rnacentral:tRNA from 1 species
GCCGGGGUACCCUAGCCAGAGGGCAGCUACCGGCUAAGAAAGGGGCCGGACUCGAGAUCCGGUGGCCUCCGGGCCUCGUGGGUUCAAAUCCCACCCCCGGCG